AACGAACGCUGGCGGCAGGCUUAACACAUGCAAGUCGAACGCGUGUAGCAAUACACGAGUGGCGCACGGGUGAGUAACACGUGGAUAUCUGCCUUUUGGUUCGGAAUAACCCUGGGAAACUAGGGCUAAUACCGAAUGGUUCCUACGGGAUAAAGAUUUAUCGCCAAAAGAUGAGUCCGCGUCCGAUUAGCUAGUUGGUGAGGUAAUGGCUCACCAAGGCGACGAUCGGUAGCUGGUCUGAGAGGACGAUCAGCCACACUGGGACUGAGACACGGCCCAGACUCCUACGGGAGGCAGCAGUGGGGAAUAUUGGACAAUGGGGGCAACCCUGAUCCAGCCAUGCCGCGUGAGUGAUGAAGGCCUUCGGGUUGUAAAGCUCUUUUGGCGGGGACGAUGAUGACGGUAC
rnacentral:rRNA from 1 species